GAAAGCACAUGUGAAGUGCCUAGCACAGUUCCUGGCACAAUUUGGCGACUUGGACAGGAUAAAAUUUCACUGGCUGGACGCUGCUCGCUCCUGGACCGCUGCAGCUGAGAGAUCCUGGACCUCUGACAAGAGCCGGCAAGAGAAUGGGACACUGAAGCAUCAGAAACGGUAGCUCUCUUGUUCAAGGGCACCUCAUUUCCCAGGACCUCAGAGGGUGUGACAAAUCUAGUGUCCCUGUGAUAUUUGACUUCUUCCUCUCAAGGGAGAGAAACUGAGGCAAAAGAUCUGGAGUGAGUCAAUCAAGUGGUUAAAAAGAAGAUGCUGAAACUGAUGACAGAACAAAAUGAGGACACAGCUCUCCAAGUACUGCAUUUCUACUCCAGUUAAUGAUGUCUGUACUGCCAAAAAGAACUAAUA
rnacentral:lncRNA from 1 species